CAGGUUCCUCCUGGUCCCCGAGGCCCCCGGUCGGGCGUUGCCUGCCCCGCGCGGGCGGCCGGGCCGAGGGACGAUGGUCAGUGGACGGACGGCGCCAGGGAGCAGUGCCCACGCGCGGCAGGGCGGUACCUUCAGGCCUCCAGGUGUCAUCGAACACCCUUGUGCUUGCUGUCACCCGCUGCCUGUCUGCAGGAUCCCGGAUUCCGUAUCAGGGGACCGAAAUUAGUCGGAAAAUAGGAAGCAGGUGCUCGCUUGGAUGGAACCCUGACCCUGUGCUCACACUUGUAGGAGGAGGGCUCUGCAGGCCGCCUCCCGGAACGGGAGGUUCCCAAGCCACUGCACUUCGGAGGGGCUGUAAUUAGAGUUGCACAUUCAUUCAGUUCCCAGUAAAGUAGAACGUGCUCCAGCCAGUGAGGAAAAGGUGUUUUUAAAAAUUAGAUUGGCCGAGUGCGGUGGCUCAUGCCUUUUACCUCAACACUUUGGGAGACAAAGGUGGGAGGAUCACCUGUGGCCAGGAGUUCAAGACCAGCCUGGGCAACAGAGCCUGUCUCUGGGGAAGAAUAAAAAAAAAAAUUGAGCCUU
rnacentral:lncRNA from 1 species